UAUCAGAGCACAAUGAUGUUUAUCUUUCCAAGCACAUAUCUGAAUUAUGUGUAGAGAACAAUAAUUCUGAGUGAUCUGGUU